UUCACUCCCAACCCAAUGUGAACCAUACCAAACUGUUGCCUCGGCGGGGUCACGCCCCGGGUGCGUCGCAGCCCCGGAACCAGGCGCCCGCCGGAGGGACCAACCAAACUCUUUUCUGUAGUCCCCUCGCGGACGUUAUUUCUUACAGCUCUGAGCAAAAAUUCAAAAUGAAUCAAAACUUUCAACAACGGAUCUCUUGGUUCUGGCAUCGAUGAAGAACGCAGCGAAAUGCGAUAAGUAAUGUGAAUUGCAGAAUUCAGUGAAUCAUCGAAUCUUUGAACGCACAUUGCGCCCGCCAGUAUUCUGGCGGGCAUGCCUGUCCGAGCGUCAUUUCAACCCUCGAACCCCUCCGGGGGGUCGGCGUUGGGGACCUCGGGAGCCCCUAAGACGGGAUCCCGGCCCCGAAAUACAGUGGCGGUCUCGCCGCAGCCUCUCCUGCGCAGUAGUUUGCACAACUCGCACCGGGAGCGCGGCGCGUCCACGUCCGUAAAACACCCAACUUUCUGAAAUGUUGACCUCGGAUCAGGUAGGAAUACCCGCUGAACUUAAGCUAUGAG
rnacentral:rRNA from 1 species